rnacentral:piRNA from 1 species
UGCACUAACUUUGCUAAGCACGGUUUAUUG